GAUUAGAGUUUGAUCCUGGCUCAGGACGAACGCUGGCGGCGUGCCUAAUACAUGCAAGUCGUGCGGACCUUUUAAAAGCUUGCUUUCAAAAGGUUAGCGGCGGACGGGUGAGUAACACGUGGGCAACCUGCCUGUAAGACUGGGAUAACGCCGGGAAACCGGGGCUAAUACCAGAUAGUUUUUUCCUCCGCAUGGAGGAAAAAGGAAAGGCGGCUUCGGCUGCCACUUACAGAUGGGCCCGCGGCGCAUUAGCUAGUUGGCGGGGUAACGGCCCACCAAGGCAACGAUGCGUAGCCGACCUGAGAGGGUGAUCGGCCACAUUGGGACUGAGACACGGCCCAAACUCCUACGGGAGGCAGCAGUAGGGAAUCUUCCGCAAUGGACGAAAGUCUGACGGAGCAACGCCGCGUGAGUGAAGAAGGCCUUCGGGUCGUAAAACUCUGUUGCCGGGGAAGAACAAGUGCCGUUCGAACAGGGCGGCGCCUUGACGGUACCCGGCCAGAAAGCCACGGCUAACUACGUGCCAGCAGCCGCGGUAAUACGUAGGUGGCAAGCGUUGUCCGGAAUUAUUGGGCGUAAAGCGCGCGCAGGCGGCUUCUUAAGUCUGAUGUGAAAUCUUGCGGCUCAACCGCAAGCGGUCAUUGGAAACUGGGAGGCUUGAGUGCAGAAGAGGAGAGUGGAAUUCCACGUGUAGCGGUGAAAUGCGUAGAGAUGUGGAGGAACACCAGUGGCGAAGGCGGCUCUCUGGUCUGUAACUGACGCUGAGGCGCGAAAGCGUGGGGAGCAAACAGGAUUAGAUACCCUGGUAGUCCACGCCGUGAACGAUGAGUGCUAAGUGUUUAGAGGGUUUCCGCCCUUUAGUGCUGCAGCUAACGCAUUAAGCACUCCGCCUGGGGAGUACGGCCGCAAGGCUGAACUCAAGGAAUUGACGGGGGCCCGCACAGCGUGAGGCAUUGGUGGUUUAUUCGAGCACGCGAGACCUUACCAGGUCUUGACAUCCUCUGACCUCCCUGGAGACAGGGCUUCCCUUCGGGGACGAUG
rnacentral:rRNA from 2 species